AACGAACGCUGGCGGCGUGCCUAACACAUGCAAGUCGAGCGAAGUGAGUACUACGGUACGAACUUAGCGGCGGACGGGUGAGUAACGCGUGGACAAUCUACCCUGUAGACUGGGAUAACACCUCGAAAGGGGUGCUAAUACCGGAUAAUGUCGAGAAGCGGCAUCGCUUUUCGAAGAAAGGAGAGAAUCCGCUAUAGGAGGAGUCCGCGUCCCAUUAGCUAGUUGGUGAAGGUAACGGCCCACCAAGGCGACGAUGGGUAGCCGGCCUGAGAGGGUGAACGGCCACACUGGAACUGAGACACGGUCCAGACUCCUACGGGAGGCAGCAGUGGGGAAUAUUGUGCAAUGGGGGAAACCCUGACACAGCAACGCCGCGUGAGCGAAGAAGGCCUUCGGGUUGUAAAGCUCAAUAGUAUGGGAAGAUAAUGACGGUACCAUACAAAAGCCCCGGCUAACUACGUGCCAGCCGCCGCCGUAACAC
rnacentral:rRNA from 1 species